CUAUGCGCCUUGCCAGCCCGCUCAGGUGUGCAGCCGCCGCGGUAAUACGUAGGUGGCAAGCGUUAUCCGGAAUGAUUGGGCGUAAAGGGUGCGCAGGCGGUCCUGCAAGUCUGGAGUGAAACGCAUGAGCUCAACUCAUGCAUGGCUUUGGAAACUGGAGGACUGGAGAGCAGGAGAGGGCGGUGGAACUCCAUGUGUAGCGGUAAAAUGCGUAGAUAUAUGGAAGAACACCAGUGGCGAAGGCGGCCGCCUGGCCUGUUGCUGACGCUGAGGCACGAAAGCGUGGGAGCAAAUAGG
rnacentral:rRNA from 1 species